rnacentral:rRNA from 1 species
UACGUAGGGAGCGAGCGUUGUCCGGAUUUAUUGGGCGUAAAGCGCGCGUAGGCGGUUUGGUAAGCCGGGUGUGAAACCCUCGAGCUCAACUCGGGGCGGUCACUCGGAACUGUCAUGACUUGAGUCUGGUAGGGGAACACGGAAUACCUGGUGUAGCGGUGAAAUGCUUAGAUAUCAGGUGGAACACCAGUGGCGAAGGCGGUGUUCUGGGCCAGUACUGACGCUGAUGCGCGAAAGCGUGGGGAGCGAACAGG